rnacentral:rRNA from 1 species
ACGAGUUAUCUGAACCUUCGGGGAACGAUAACGGCGUCGAGCGGCGGACGGGUGAGUAAUGCCUAGGAAAUUGCCCUGAUGUGGGGGAUAACCAUUGGAAACGAUGGCUAAUACCGCAUGAUGCCUACGGGCCAAAGAGGGGGACCUUCGGGCCUCUCGCGUCAGGAUAUGCCUAGGUGGGAUUAGCUAGUUGGUGAGGUAAGGGCUCACCAAGGCGACGAUCCCUAGCUGGUCUGAGAGGAUGAUCAGCCACACUGGAACUGAGACACGGUCCAGACUCCUACGGGAGGCAGCAGUGGGGAAUAUUGCACAAUGGGCGCAAGCCUGAUGCAGCCAUGCCGCGUGUGUGAAGAAGGCCUUCGGGUUGUAAAGCACUUUCAGUCGUGAGGAAGGUGGUAGUGUUAAUAGCACUAUCAUUUGACGUUAGCGACAGAAGAAGCACCGGCUAACUCCGUGCCAGCAGCCGCGGUAAUACGGAGGGUGCGAGCGUUAAUCGGAAUUACUGGGCGUAAAGCGCAUGCAGGUGGUUUGUUAAGUCAGAUGUGAAAGCCCGGGGCUCAACCUCGGAAUUGCAUUUGAAACUGGCAGACUAGAGUACUGUAGAGGGGGGUAGAAUUUCAGGUGUAGCGGUGAAAUGCGUAGAGAUCUGAAGGAAUACCGGUGGCGAAGGCGGCCCCCUGGACAGAUACUGACACUCAGAUGCGAAAGCGUGGGGAGCAAACAGGAUUAGAUACCCUGGUAGUCCACGCCGUAAACGAUGUCUACUUGGAGGUUGUGGCCUUGAGCCGUGGCUUUCGGAGCUAACGCGUUAAGUAGACCGCCUGGGGAGUACGGUCGCAAGAUUAAAACUCAAAUGAAUUGACGGGGGCCCGCACAAGCGGUGGAGCAUGUGGUUUAAUUCGAUGCAACGCGAAGAACCUUACCUACUCUUGACAUCCAGAGAACUUUCCAGAGAUGGAUUGGUGCCUUCGGGAACUCUGAGACAGGUGCUGCAUGGCUGUCGUCAGCUCGUGUUGUGAAAUGUUGGGUUAAGUCCCGCAACGAGCGCAACCCUUAUCCUUGUUUGCCAGCGAGUAAUGUCGGGAACUCCAGGGAGACUGCCGGUGAUAAACCGGAGGAAGGUGGGGACGACGUCAAGUCAUCAUGGCCCUUACGAGUAGGGCUACACACGUGCUACAAUGGCGCAUACAGAGGGCGGCCAACUUGCGAAAGUGAGCGAAUCCCAAAAAGUGCGUCGUAGUCCGGAUUGGAGUCUGCAACUCGACUCCAUGAAGUCGGAAUCGCUAGUAAUC